rnacentral:rRNA from 1 species
UACGGGGGAGGCAAGCGUUAUCCGGAAUUAUUGGGCGUAAAGAGUCCGUAGGUGGCGAUUCAAGUCUGCUGUCAAAGCGUGGAGCUCAACUCCAUUAAGGCAGUGGAAACUGAAUGGCUAGAGUCCGGUAGGGGUAGCGGGAAUUCCCAGUGUAGCGGUGAAAUGCGUAGAGAUUGGGAAGAACAUCGGUGGCGAAAGCGCGCUACUGGGCCGGAACUGACACUGAGGGACGAAAGCUAGGGGAGCGAAACGG